GACAAACCCAACCCCUGACCCAUGCCAAAAAUUUACUACCCAUCUCUGCAGGUAGCUUCUCAAUCACACAGCAUUUGCUCAAGCGAACGAGACAGCAGCAAAAAUAGAUCCAUAGCAAACCCAUCUCCAUUAGCACCCCACACCCAUUGCCUCCUCUUUUCCCCUAUUCGAUUAGCAUAUACCUAACUUUUUCAUCAAUCUAGCUUGCUACCUCUAUCACCU
rnacentral:misc_RNA from 1 species